AUGUUCACUGUGACUAAGACCUCGUGGACAAAGAAGACUGUAAAGCUUCCAUUAUUGGCAAAAUCAGUCGCUGUGGGGCCUCCUAGGGAAACAGGAGAAGACAUGGAAGGUAUUGCCGAAUCCUUUCCUGAACCAGAGAUAGAUGAUCGAACCAGGCAUGGCGCAUCAGAGAAUCACAACUUACUGGUAAGCAGGAUUUGGAGGUGGGCAGGUGGCUCAGUCACAGUCAAGGUCUCUAAGGAUGGAAGAACCUCUUGAUUAACUCAGGUUGCUCAGGAACAAACAUUAAGUUUAUCACAGUCAACUCUAGGAGAAACACACUAGGGUGAAAGUGAUGUCCAAGGGAGGAAAAUGAAGCCAAGAGGUGCAAGAGUCAGCCUGAGUCUGGUGACAUGAUGUCAGUCUCUGGUUUCAGGUGCCUGCAGCAUAGAUUGGACUUCUCAAAUUUUCAUGCCAAUACAUUCCCUUUCCUACUGAAGCCACUGGCUUGGUUUUUGUCAUUUGUAGUCAGAUUUUAUCAUUUG
rnacentral:lncRNA from 1 species